AAUAUUGCGCAAUGGAGGAAACUCUGACGCAGCGACGCCGCGUGAGUGACGAAGGCCUUCGGGUUGUAAAGCUCUGUCAGCAGGGAAGAAAUCGUGAGGGUUAAUACCCCUUGCGGAUGACGGUACCUGCAGAGGAAGCACCGGCUAACUCUGUGCCAGCCGCCGCGGUAAUACAGAGGGUGCGAGCGUUGUUCGGAAUUACUGGGCGUAAAGAGCAUGUAGGCGGUUUGGUAAGUCAGAUGUGAAAUCUCGGGGCUCAACCCCGAACGUGCAUUUGAAACUACCAGGCUCGAGUAUGGUAGAGGAUUGUGGAAUACCCAGUGUAGAGGUGAAAUUCGUAGAUAUUGGGUAGAACACCGGUGGCGAAGGCGGCAAUCUGGGCCAUAACUGACGCUGAGAUGCGAAAGCGUGGGGAGCAAACAGG
rnacentral:rRNA from 1 species